AGAGCGUGUCCUGCCUCCAUGUGGAGGGAGAUACGGGAAGCUGCAUGUCACCACGGAGACUUCCUUGUUCGUGUCUAUAUGGUUCAUACAUGGCCUUCCCCUUAAUUAAAGAUGUCUUCCGAGGAACAUUUUGUCUAAGAAUAACCCAGUGGAAAUCUCUCACAUAAGAAGUGAUAGAACUACACAUCUGAGUAUGAGCCUGCAUGGCAUAGUGAGUCUGCAACUGUGAACUCGGGAAAUCCUGUACCUUCCCGUGCAGUCGCUCCCCAGCCAUGCAGGUAUUUCCAGAGCCUGGAGAUCCCAGACUACCUUUCAAAAGAAUGAAUUCCAGACCCAGAGAGUCCCCUGGAGGAGAUUCAUGGCAAGCAGCCGUACGAAAUAACAGAAGCCCCAGAGAGGGGAAGCAAUUUCCUGCCUAAGUCGUCCAUCUGUCAGUGGCAAAGCUAGGACUGGAACUCAGGAUUCUCCAUCCCUCUUCCCAAACCUGGCACUAUCUUCCUGGCUUUCUGGGUCUGGAGUCCCAUGUUAGAGGCCCUCUGUUUUCAGAGCAGGACUCAUUGAAUAUGUGUGCUCUUUCUACUCAAGUGCUUCAAGGAUCCUUCCUGGAAAAGCCUCGGUUCCGGACCAGUGCUGUCAUGGCCUCACCAUGUCAUAGAAUUCCCAUCAUUUCACUUGUGACUCCCUUCUUCCUAGGACCCGGGCAUAAAUUCUUGAAGAGUUGAUCUGAGUGACAGACUCCCACGCUAUGCCAAAAACGGCCUCUUAUUUCCCAAUGAUUGAGACCUUUUAUUUGAUCAAUCUCAUGUGCUCACUGGACCCCAGUGAUACCUUCACAUACCUGACACCUCAGGGAAACACAGCUUCCGUUCAAGUCAAGAUCCUUGCUAUACUGCAAACUCUUAUGAAACGUCUAGGAGAAUUUUCAGGCUCCUUUGUAUAUGGAAAAAGGUCAGAAUGAAGCUCCAAAUUCUUCAGCAUGUGUAAAAACUUAAGACAACCAUAUUUUAUUUUUGUUUUAUUUUUUAUUUUUUUCAUUGUUUUUUUUUUUGAGACAGCCUUGCUCUGUUGCCUAGGCUGGAGUGCAGUGGCGCGAUCUCGGCUCAUUGCAACUUCCACCUCCUGGGUUCAAGCGAUUCUUGUGCCUCAGCCUCCCAAGUAGCUGGAAUUACAGGCAUGCACCACCAUUCACAGCUAAUUUUUGUAUUUUUAGUAGAGAUGGGGUUUCACCAUGUUGGCCAGGCUGGUCUCGACCUCCUGACCUCAGGUGAUCCAGUCGUCUUGGCCUCCCAAAGUGCUGGGAUUACAGGCAUGAGCCCCUGUGCCCAGCCAACAACUACAUUUUAAAGCAACUUUAUUCUCAACUGAAUGACAUUUUAAUCACUUUCUUGCCCAUGUGGAUAUGGAUAAGGAUAUUUUGCCAAUAUUCUUGUUUGUGUUUGACUGUGAUGCUAUUGUUAUACAAAGAAUGGGCAGGUGGAGCUAAGCAGAAAGAGACAGUCGGGUACCUGUACCAUGGAAAAUGGAAGAGAGCCAAGCAGACUGCAUCCUUAGGGGGCAGGGAGGUCAGUGCAAGUUGGGACAAAGCCUAGCUGAGUCGGUGAGCACUUCAUGGCAGACUAGUCAAAUUAUAUCUCUUGGACUAAGAUCUUCAUUAAAGGCCUGCACCUCAGAGACAUUUCAGCCUACCAAGGUGCAUCAUUAUGGAAGACUGGGCAUGAUAAUAGUAAUUUAAAUGAAGUUAAAAGAGCAGUCUAAAUUAGAACAGGUAUUCACAUUCCAAUUUCUCUUGAGAAGAGCCUCUGUUGGAUAAAGAAAACUCGCUGAGCAAAAUAAAUCGAUUGGAGGUAAACUUUACCAGCCCUGGAGUGCAAGGUUUAGAAACAUGCACACAUCCCACGGUGUUAAGGGUCCUGCUGUUUUCUUCCAUGUCAUUUCAUCACAGAACAAUUUUCUACAGCAACCUGAUCUACCUUGUGGCCCAGUAAGGCAUGUUUUGUUUUGAGAUGGAGUCUCACUCUGUCGCCCAGGCUGUAGUGCAGUGGCGUGAUCUCCGCUCACUGCAAGCACUGCCUCCCGGGUUCACGCCAUUCUCCUGCCUCAGCCUCCCAAGUAGCUGGGACUACAGGCGCCCGCCACCAUGCCCGGCUAAUUUUCUGUAUUUUUAUUAGAGACGGGGUUUCACCAUGUUAGCCAGGAUGGUCUCGAUCUCCUGACCUCUGGGAUCUGCCCGUUUCGGCCUCCCAAAGUGCUGGGAUUACAGGUGUGAGCCACCGCUCCCAGCCAAGCAUGUGAGAGUUUUAAAUCAAAUGUUACCUUGUCCCUAUUAGCCUUACCACUGCUAAAUAUCUACACGGUUCCCUGUUAAGGAGAGUUUCUAAAUGACUCUCUUGAGAAAUCCUGGAUAAAUGGAGAAUGGAGCAUUUUUCCUGCCUCUAAGCUUUGCUCCACUGCAAUCUUUCACAUGCUGUGUAUCCAGAGGGUGACUGCCAGAUAGCUUCUUGAAGAAAGGGAGGAGGAAACGGUCAUUUUCUUGCUGCGCUUUCUAACACCCAACAGAGGAAAUGCACAGCAUAGGUGUGUGGGAGUUUGGCUGACUUAUGGUAAAAAAUAAACAUGGUUUCCUGUU
rnacentral:lncRNA from 1 species